AUAUCUGUGGAUGAUCCCAGCACUUCAGAGGAUUAUUUCUGGUUUUAACAGUUAUUAUCAAUGAUGGUGACAGGUAUUUUCACAUAUCAAAUAAAACCUCCAAACCACAGAAAAGGAGAUUAUCCGUGUAAGGAAUUAUUUUGUGGCUUUUAAUGACAGUGAGGAAAAUGGUCGAAAAGGAGCACCGCGGUAAAUCUCUUACAGAAAUUUGUAGAACACUGACAUCUGGAGGUAGAGCUGCUUAAAACAGAAAGAUGCAUCUACUCAGACUCCUUGAGAAGGUCUGCAUCUCUGCCUUAAUUUAACCAUUACAUGCCAGAGGAAAAUUUAUUUUUGGUGCCAGAAGAAAAUAGGAGGAAAGGGAGCUGUCAGCUAAACAAGAUUUGGAUUGUAGAACUCUUACCUCCAGAUCAAGAGGUGGAAGAAAUAUUGCAGACAAUAUCUGAAAUCAAGAAGCAUCCAGUGCCGCAAUCAAACCAAGAGGCUUGCACACAUUUCCCUGUUUGCAAAUUGCACACACAGAUUUCAGAAACAAGUUGUAGCAGAUGCAUGGAUUCACUACAGCCCCCAAAGUGAUGAAAGGACAAGUUGAGGGUUUUUUCCCAAGUUGCAUAAUUUGCUGAAUUAAGGUUUGAAUGAAAUUUCCUGGAAUUACAGUUUGUGCCCAUUGCCUUUUGUCCUGUCACAGAGCAUCACUAAGAAGAGAUUGGCUCUUCUUCACUUCUCUCCACCAGAUGUUUAUAUAAAUUGAUAGAAUUCCUCCAGUCCUUCUCUUCUGGAGCAGAGUCUUCCAUACAGCUAUUGCAGUUCAUGCUUCCUUUGUGCAAGAAGGACAGCAUAUAUUACAUCAACAGAGAAGGAAGAGGAACAGCGUCAGGAUGAACCUGAGCACGGAAAGCAAAUAGGAGGCAAACUUCCACCUUUGUAGAUUUGUGGCUGAAGACUUAUUAAUGGACUAAGAAGUUAUUAAG